UGAGUAACGCGUGGGUAACCUGCCCUUAAGUCUGGGAUACCAUUUGGAAACAGAUGCUAAUACCGGAUAAAAGCUACUUUCGCAUGAAAGAAGUUUAAAAGGCGGCGUAAGCUGUCGAUAAAGGAUGGACCUGCGAUGCAUUAGCUAGUUGGUAAGGUAACGGCUUACCAAGGCGAUGAUGCAUAGCCGAGUUGAGAGACUGAUCGGCCACAUUGGGACUGAGACACGGCCCAAACUCCUACGGGAGGCAGCAGGC
rnacentral:rRNA from 1 species